ensembl:lncRNA
GCUCUGCAACUAUGUCACUGCCUUUGCCUUGCUUCCUCUCACGCCAUUGAUCUCUGUGUUUCAUUAUGAUCUAUGAAUGCUUGGAGAGAUCAUCACCCACAGUCCAGGAGUGAUAACUUGGGCGAUACUCAGUUGCUUCUGGUCCUUUCCACAUCACUGCAGCUGUUUCAGCCCACAGACCGUGACUCUGGUUGAAAAAUCAGAGUCAGACAAAAAUGGAAAAUCCAACACAUCUCACAGCGCCUUCCAGCCUAUUGAAGAUCUAAGUGAAGCAUUGAUCGGAAAGUGGACCUGAGCCAUAGGACCAUGCCCCAGGACUACCUGACAUGAUGACUCCUUGCUGUCCCCAGUCCACCUGGCCGUGCUGCUGCUCCAGUUUCAACUGUUCUGCCUUAUUAUUAUUGGACCAUGCUGGUCAUUUAUGAACAUUUGAACAUCUUGGCCAUGUUCUGUUAUAAUCUCCACCUGGCACAGCCAGAAGAGGACUGGCCACCCCACAUAGCCUGGUUCCUCUCUAGGUUUCUUCCUAGGUUUUGGCCUUUCUAGGGAGAUUUUCCUAGCCACCGUGCUUCUACACAUGCAUUGCUUGCUGUUUGGGGUUUUAGGCUGGGUUUCUGUACAGCACUUUGAGAUAUCAGCUGAUGUACGAAGGGCUAUAUAAAAAUACAUUUGAUUUGAUUUGAUUUGAUUUAGGGGCCUUUUGGCAAACUUCCAGCAGGCUGUGAUGUGCCUUUUACUGAGGAGUGGCUUCCGUCUGGCCACUCUACCAUAAAAGCCUGAUUGGUGGAGUGCUGCAGAGAUGGUUGUCCUUCUGGAAGGUGCUCCCAUAUCCACAGAGAAACUCUGGAGCUCUGUCAGAGUGACCAACAGGUUUUUGUUCACCUCCCUGACCAAGGCCCUUCUCCCCCAAUUGCUCAGUUUGGCCAGGUGGCCAGCUCUAGGAAGAUUCUUGGUGGUUCCAAACUUCUCCCAUUUAAGAAUGAUGGAUGCCACUGUGUUCUUGGGGGACCUUCAAUGCUGCAGACAUUUUUUGGUACCCUUCCCAAGAUCUGUGCCUCAACACAUUCCUGUCUAGGACCUCUACGGACAAUUCCUUCAACCUCAUGGCUUGGUUUUUGCUCUGACAUGCACUUUCGACUGUGGGACCUUAGACAGGCGUGUGCAUUUCCAAAUAAUGUCCAAUCAAUUGAAUUUACCACAUGUGAACUCCAAUCAAGUUGUAGAAACAUCACAAGGAUAAUCAAUGGAAACGGGAUGCACCUGAGCUCAAUUUGAGUCUCGUGGCACAAGGUCUGAAUACUUAUUGAAAUAAGGUAUUUACUAAAAAUAUUUUUUCCUUUGUCAUUAUGGAGUAUUGUGUGUAGAUGAGGAUUUUUUAAAUUGACAUUUAAGACAUUUUAGAAUAAGGCUGUAACGUAAUAAAAUGUGGAAAAAGUUAAGGGGUCUUAAUACUUUCUGAAUGCAAUGUAUCUCAGGGUGAAAUGUGCAAUUUGUGGUUGCACCAUUUGACUGUGGAGUCAAACAAUGCUUUGUAGUUGACUAAUUCAGGCCACCAGAUCACCCUGAUGUUAAAUAAUGGAGUCACAGUGUGGAUUCGGGUGCACUCAGUGUAGCUGCUCUGCUGUGAUGCAAUCACUGGUGACCUCCGCGGAUUAGGUUAAUCAGCUCUCACAGCUUGUGUGAAAUUAUAUUGUUCCGUUUGGAAGGAUGGAUCAUUCAGUGGAACUUAUUCUAUGGAAAUGAUCCAGCGGCACCACCAAAAUACAUUGGGGGGGAAGAGAUGUUAUUAUCACAGCCAGAAGACUCCGCAUAAAAAGGCCCAACAUCUUCAGGGAUCAUGGUACAAGUUAAUCAUUCUGUUGAACAGGGGAUAUUAAUGGUGGCUUUGUGGUUCCGCAGGAGGAAACAAGAGUGGAUUGAUUUCAAGGUUUUCUUUUUUAUUUGUUUUUGUCAAAUUGUCCUUGAAAUUCAUUGCUCACAUGAUGACUGUACUGCAGCUGUAGAUACAGGAAAAAACAGUACCUGACUUUCACUGACUCUGUCUCCUCAGGCAUGCAUGCCUAAUGGCACUGACAAGGUUCUACCGUUAGUAUAAUAUCCCUACGUGUUUUUCACGUUUUGAGAUCAAUGUGUGUCAUGUCUUUCUGCAGGACGAUUUAGUGUGGGCACCUGAGGAGCU